CGAGCGUGUGCCUGAGGCGAAGGCGCCAGCACCGCAGUUAUUGUUUUUAGUGGGUCAGCGGGGCGGCCAGGUUGGCUGAGGCUCUUCGUGGGUACUUAGCAUUAUGCUUUGGAAUCCACUGUGCUUUUUGUACACGUUGAUGUGGAGAUUAGCCAGAAUUGGCUUUCAUCUGCAAUUUCUAUCCCAAGUCCUCACAAAGAGAUGGUUUUUCUUACGAUUUGCUGCUUUCUCAUAAAAGCCGGUGCCUGCAGCGCACCAAGGACUCUUGCUCUGUCAGGACCUGAAUGCUGUCUUUACCUGGGAAAUGUCUACAGGCCAGCAGGACCAUCAGCCAUGGACUCACUAUGAUUGCUCCUGACUUCUCACCAGUUUGCCUUUGACCUGAAAGACAGUUUCUAGAGAGCCUGGCAGAGGGGCUUGACGUGGAAGAGAUGGUCCAGAGUCACAGCAACACCUUCUGAAGUCAACCGAGGCCAAGCAGCUGUCACCAGGACCAAAAUCCUGGCACACUGGGGCUGGCAGUGACCCGCAGACCAGGGCAUCCUGGUUUUCCAUUCUACACAGGGGGAACACAAAGGCCUGGGGAGAGAAAGAGAGGUUAAACUAACACAGGAGACAGAACCUGGGUCUCCAAACACCCACCCUUUCCCUUCUUCACCCCCAGUCAAACUGCCCAGCCCACAGCACCACUGUCCCCAGGGAAAUGCAUGGGGCAUAUCCACCCCUUCAGCUGAGUUCCAAGUAGUCGAUGAUCGGAGGGCUUGCCUGGUGGUCCAGGGGCUAAGACUCCAAGUUGGGAAUUAGACCCCACAUGCUGCAACCAAGACCCGGAGCAGCCAAAUAAAUAAACGUUGAAAACGAAACCAAAGCAGAGUAGCCACUGCUGAUGGCCUCAGUCUAGGGUCUGGGGAGGGCCUUAGCCUGGAAGUCAAGGGCCAGGACACCCACAAGCCUCCAGACUCACCUAGGGCCUGCCACCUGCAGUGGGGUCUACAGAACCAUCUUGUUAGAAAGGCUGAAUCCCACACCUGCCCCAGCUUCUGACUCAAUCUGCACCUUAGUAAGACCCCAGCAGACUCACGUGUUGUGAUCUGAGAAGUACUAAGAGCAAGCCACUUUCCCUGCUACCAGCCUCAGUUUCUCUAACAGGAAUGAAAGGGGCGAAAGAUCUCGGACCCCUC
ensembl:lncRNA